rnacentral:rRNA from 1 species
CCUACGGGAGGCAGCAGUGGGGGAUAUUGCACACUGGGGGGAACCCUGAUGCAGCGACGCCGCGUGGGUGAAGGAGUGCUUCGGCAUGUAAAGCCCUAUCGGCAGGGAAGAAGCAGGACGGUACCUGACUACGAAGCCCCGGCUAACUCCGUCCAAGCAGCGGCGGUAAUACGAAGGGGGCGAGCGUUAUCCGGAUUCACUGGGUGUGAAGGGCGCGUAGACGGCCAAGCAAGCCAGGGGUGAAAGCCCGGGGCCCAACCCCGGGACUGCCCUUGGAACUGCAUGGCUGGAGUGCGGGAGGGGCAGGCGGAAUUCCUGGUGUAGCGGUGAAAUGCGUAGAUAUCAGGAGGAACACCGGUGGCGAAGGCGGCCUGCUGGACCGCGACUGACGUUGAGGCUCGAAAGCGUGGGGAGCGAACAGGAUUAGAUACCCUGGUAGUC